GUUUCUAUGCCAAGGAUGAUUUCAGAUCGUGUGGACAGAACAUCAGGUGCAACGAACUGGAGACAUGAGACGUGUGCACAGACUGAGCUAUCCAACCAUCUUAUGAGCAUGUACCCUGAGCAAACUAAACUGUAUAAAAGUUAACUGAUUUAAAUAAUAAAUUGGACAUUGCUUUGAUCACAUUGGUCGUAGAUCUGUAAGUCUGCUGUUUGAAAGAUCAGGGGCUGGUGAAAGUGAAAAGUCUGGAGUAGAGAUGGAAAGAGAUUCUGUGAGAUGCUAUAAUAAAAAGUUUAGUUGUUAACUACUAACAAAUUCCCAGUUAUAACAGAUGCGGGAGACAAUAGAAGUUAUUAUGCAUUAAAUUAGAAGAUGCUAAAGAAAUUAAAUCUAUAAUUAUCCAGUAUGGGUUGAGAUCAGGUUAUACUACAUUUGUGUUACAGCAUUUUAACAAUAAGUAUUAUCUUUAAUAAUAAAGACCUUUUUUUUCUCUUAACUCUUCAAACUUUAUCUGAGAUUCUAGUAGCAAGAAUGCUUGUAUAAACUGGAAACACUGAAGUCUGUAAGAGUCUGUACUGUUCCUUGCACUGCAGUAUUUUAGAUUUUUUUAGUUUGUAAUGAUCUUUAACUAUUUGAGAAAGCUUUGAAGUUCUUGGACCCCUAGAAGAAAUAUUAGAACUUAGUUUUUAUGCUCCUUGUCAAUUGGCUAGUUUAAUAUCAAAGACCUGAUCUAAUUUUUAUUUCUUCUCUUUUUGCUGCAUAUAUAAUUUAGCUUUCUUAGGACCUUGUUAUGGCUUAGAUGAGACUUAAGUUACAGCACUAUUGAUUGAGAGAGUUUAGACAUAAAAAAAUGUUCCCUGAAUGCUGCAAAUGCUGUUGCAGCCCAGAGCAAAUGUUACUGAGUAUGACUGAUGCAAAAUAUGUCCUUUUUCAAUAAGAAGGAGUAGAGGUUAUAGACCCGCUCUUUUAUAACAUUAUUUUUGUGCUGACUUUUCACAGUAACAUACUAAGCAGCACAAAACUCUCACUAAUUGCCUAUUAACCCGGUCAUGUGUAUCACAUCCUAAUAGAAACUUUUACUGAGCUUUCUUUAUCAGCUUCUAUUUUCUUUAUUUAACCUAAUUGAAAGCUGCUUUAAAAUGCACUGAUGAAAUACUGAGAAAAAUUCUCGCUCUUGCAAUCUUUGAUCACUUCAUCUGUAAAGAAAAUAUUUCUUUCUCUGUUAUAGUUUUAAGUUAUUAGCUAGUGUGAUUCAUUUGUAUUCUAGAGAUUUUAAGCAGAUAAUGCUCAGUAUUCUUUUUGAUUUUACAUUCACAAAUGCAUGUGUAUUGAAGAUUCUUCACUCCUUUCCCAGUGACUUUUGCUUUGCUUUGCAUGCAUUUUAGAAUAUGGGCUGAAAAGAGUAUUUAGGACUCUCUUGUCUAACUUAGUCUAGGGAGAGAAAAGUUACUUCUCUAACUGCUGCUUCUUUUUGCUAAGACAGAUUUGCACCCAUCUUCUCUAACCUUUCUUAGAUUUUUGUUAUUAGCACAAAAGUAUUAAGUAAAGAUAUUGAUAAUUCAAGAAUUUUUUGACACACUUUCGCACAAAGAAAAAGGGGGAAAGAAGGAUAUCAGUUCUCCUUUAUUGACCUGCAAAAGUGUUUUAUGUGCUUAAGUUUUUGCACACAGGUGUUCUCUGGUUAUCUGCAUGAUGGAUGAAGCCUUGGUAAGAAGCUGGUUCUUUAGAACAAGGUUGAUGUUGUUCCUGCAGGAGACUGUGACACCAGAAGUUGUUGUAGCUAACAGUCUCUUCAAUAUUAUUAAAGUACAAUUUUUUUAAUACUUUCAAGGCACAUAAUUUUAGAAGUUAAGAGGUAUAUAAGAAGUUAAGAGGUAUAUAAGUUAUAGAGAGUAAGAAUUUAAGUAUAAUGUAUUGUAUGACCUUUAGAUUACUCACUAGGUAUUGGUAAAAGAAAGUUUAUCUGUCUGGUUAAUUUUAUCUGUUUGGUUGAGAAACUUUGACAUUAUAAGGUACUAGAGAAUAAUUAUGGUUUCUCAGUUCAUAAAACACAGUGACAUGAAAUUCAAAAGUAUGUUUGUGUGAAAUGUGUUUGGAUGGUGGUGGCCACCGUGUGAAAGUGAAUGAAUGAAAGCGUAUGCAAGUAUGUGUGUGAAUAUAUGAACAAAGACACAAACACCUUUGACACAAACACCUUGAAUAAAAACAGAAGACACAUAACCCUAAGUUGAAUGGAGUUCCAUUUGCAGAAGUGUUUUUAGAUUGGAUAAAAGCUUUCAAGAAUAAGUCCUAUAUUUAGUAACACCUUUAAGCACAGAGUUAAGAGCACAAACUUUGAGAUCGAUAAGUUUUUAAGUUUGUUAAUGGUAGUGGUAUUAUUAUAUGUAAUUGUGUUUGUUAAUAUGUUAUAGGUAUGAUGAAGAAUGUUGCAGGAAUGCAGUAAAAAAAAAUUGUUCAAAGCAGACUGGGGAAUUGUCGCCGGGACACAGAUUUCUGUGAACAAUUUUUUCCUGCACUCUGUAGGCCUUGCUUGCCGUGGAAGUGACAAGCGUGUAUUGUUUAUACUUAUAGACUGUGUGAGCAUAUGUGAUGCUUAUACUUGUUAGCUGUGUGUCUGGUUAUAAGGUUUGAGAACAUAAUAUGUUUAUAGAAAGAAAACCUUGAGAAACUGAAGAUAAUGAAACACCUGCAAAUUUAGUGAAACCCUAAAAGCAGAUUAAUUAGAAAGAGGUUUCUAUGCCAAGGAUGAUUUCAGAUCCAGUGGACAGAACAUCAAGUCCAAUGAACUGGGGACAUGAGACACGUGCACAGACUGAGCUAUCCAACCAUCUUAUUAUGAGCAUGUACCCUGAGCAAACUAAACUGUAUAAAAGUUAACUGAUUUAAAUAAUAAAUUGGACAUUGAUCACA